CCAACAGGGAUUCCCUUAGUAAGGGCGACUGAAACGGGAAGAGCCCAGCGCAUAACCUCGUAUUUAUUUCCCUUAACCGGGUGCGAGGGGUGUUGCGUUUCGGAGGGUCCGGCACGCUGCACCACACCGCCUAAGUCAUGCUUGAAAGCAGCCAUUACCCAUGGAGGGUGACAGGCCCGUAUGGCGGACGACCCGUGAGGGUUUCGUGGAGCAGUGGAAAGGGCCUCUCUGUAGAGUCGGGUUGCUUGAGAGUGCAGCCCAAAGCAGGUGGUAAACUCCAUCUAAGGCUAAAUAUGACCACGAGA
rnacentral:rRNA from 1 species